UACGUAGGGUGCAAGCGUUAUCCGGAAUUAUUGGGCGUAAAGAGCUCGUAGGCGGUUUGUCGCGUCUGCUGUGAAAACUGGGGGCUCAACCCCCAGCCUGCAGUGGGUACGGGCAGACUAGAGUGCGGUAGGGGAGAUUGGAAUUCCUGGUGUAGCGGUGGAAUGCGCAGAUAUCAGGGAGGAACACCGAUGGCGAAGGCAGAUCUCUGGGCAUUACCUGACGCUGAGGAGCGAAAGCAUGGGGAGCGAACAGG
rnacentral:rRNA from 1 species